CCUACGGGUGGCAGCAGUGGGGAAUAUUGCGCAAUGGGCGAAAGCCUGACGCAGCGACGCCGCGUGAGGGAUGAAGGUCUUCGGAGCGUAAACCUCUGUCAGCAGGGAAGAACGGUCACUGUGCUAAGCAGCAGUGAAUGGACGGUACCUGCAAAGGAAGCACCGGCUAACUCCGUGCCAGCAGCCGCGGGAAUACGGAGGGGGCGAGCGUUAAGCGGAAGUACUGGGCGUAAAGCGCGCGUAGGCGGUAUGUCAAGUCAAGGGUGAAAUCCCCGCGCUCAACGUGGGAACUGCCUUUGAAACUGGCAACCUGGAUUGUGUGUGUGGCUAGUUGUAUUCCAGGUGUAGGCGU
rnacentral:rRNA from 1 species